rnacentral:rRNA from 1 species
UACGUAGGGUGCGAGCGUUGUCCGGAAUUAUUGGGCGUAAAGGGCUCGUAGGCGGUUUGUCACGUCGGGAGUGAAAACUCGGGGCUUAACCCCGAGCCUGCUUCCGAUACGGGCAGACUAGAGGUAUGCAGGGGAGAACGGAAUUCCUGGUGUAGCGGUGAAAUGCGCAGAUAUCAGGAGGAACACCGGUGGCGAAGGCGGGUCUCUGGGCCGAUACUGACGCUGAGGAGCGAAAGCGUGGGGAGCAAACAGG